AGAGUUGUGGCUCAGUGGUAGAGAAUCUCCUUUGCAUUCAGAAAGUUCCAGGUUCAAUUCCCUGCAUCUCUA